GAUGAACGCUGGCGGCAUGCUUUACACAUGCAAGUCGGACGGGAAGUGGUGUUUCCAGUGGCGGACGGGAGUGUAACACGUAAGAACCUGCCCUUGGGAGGGGAACCACAGCUGGAAACGGCUGCUAAUACACCGUAGGCUGAGGAGCGAAAGGAGGAAUCCGGCCAAGUGGGGGCUGGCGUCUGAUUAGCUUGUUGGUGAGGUAAUAGCUUACCAAGGUCGUGAUCAGUAGCUGGUCCGAGGUGAUGGUCAGCCACACUGGGACGGUGACAAGGCGCAGACUCCUACGGGAGGCAGCAGUGGGGAAUUUUCCGCGAUGGGCGAAAGCAUGACGGAGCAAUGCCGCGGGGAGGUAGGAGGUCUACGGGUCAUGAGCUUCUGUUCCUGGAGAAGAAACAAUGACGGUAUCGGGGAAAUAAGCACCGGCUAACUCUGUG
rnacentral:rRNA from 1 species